CACGUAAGGGGCGAGCGUUGUUCGGAAUUAUUGGGCGUAAAGGGCGUGCAGGCGGUUUUGCAAGUCUGAUGUGAAAACUCUGGGCUUAACUCAGAAUCCGCGUUGGAAACUGCAAGACUAGAAUCUUGGAGGGGGAGUUGGAAUUCCUAGUGUAGGGGUGAAAUCUGUUGAUAUUAGGAAGAACACCGGUGGCGAAGGCGGCACUCUGGGCCGAUACUGACACUGAGGAGCGAAAGCGUGGGGAGCGAACAGG
rnacentral:rRNA from 1 species